rnacentral:lncRNA from 1 species
ACAAGUAUAGUGUGAACCUAGUGUCAUGAAUCUAGCAAACACUUAUGGCAUUUGAGCAUAUAUAUUUUGUAUCAUUCAUGCAUGAUAGGGCUAAGUACAUGUGAACCUUGGUUGCUUUCAAUGACAUGUUUCUAACGUAGUUGAACAUAGAGAAUGGUAGAACCGUAAUGGACAUGUAUGUUAGGACCCUAUUAUUGUGUGAAUGUGAGAGUUGGACUUGGACAUUAGUAAACAAAGGUGACAUUGACAAUAAAGACAUUGAUUGGCAUAGAGAACAUAGUUGUUAAACAUGGUUUAACCAAGAGUGGCAUUGAGACAAGUAUGACUUAGAAAGUGGUAAGAAUAAAUAGGUAGAAACCUAUUAUGACUAUGGCAUU